rnacentral:rRNA from 1 species
ACGGGGUGCAGCAGGCGCGAAACCUUUACACUGCACGCAAGUGCGAUAAGGGGACUCCGAGUGCGAGGGCAUAUAGUCCUCGCUUUUGAGAACCGUAAGGCGGUUCUCGAAUAAGAGCUGGGCAAGACCGGUGCCAGCCGCCGCGGUAAUACCGGCAGCUCAAGUGAUGGCCAAUUUUAUUGGGCCUAAAGCGUCCGUAGCUGGCCGUGAAAAUUCGUCGGGAAAUCCAUCCGCUCAACGGAUGGGCGUCCGGCGAAAACUUCAUGGCUUGGGACCGGAAGGCUCGAGGGGUACGUCCGGGGUAGGAGUGAAAUCCUGUAAUCCUGGACGGACCACCGAUGGCGAAAGCACCUCGAGAAGACGGAUCCGACAGUGAGGGACGAAAGCUAGGGUCUCGAACCGGAUUAGAUACCCGGGUAGUCCUAGCCGUAAACAAUGUUCACUAGGUGUGGCACAGGCUACGAGCCUGUGCUGUGCCGUAGGGAAGCCGAGAAGUGAACCGCCUGGGAAGUACGUCCGCAAGGAUGAAACUUAAAGGAAUUGGCGGGGGAGCAC